rnacentral:lncRNA from 1 species
CCCGGGCCGGAAGGGCUCCUGCGCAGGCGUUUGUAGCCACUUUUAAGUUUUAUCAGCUAGUUCAUGCUUGCGUUGAAAGAGUGGUCGUUUGCGCUGGGUCAUCACUGUGUAGUAUUGGGGAUACUUAGGUGAGAAAAAAACUUAACGCUAGAGACGUUCACGCACUAGUGGAGAAGCCAGGAUUGUUGCCCUAGAGUUACAGUAGAUAAAAGUACCUCAGAGAACUGCGGGGGCUCCCAACCUGGACGCUUGCACCGGAGUAUUAAAUCCAGCUAGAGAAUGGCAUGUGCAAAGAUACAGAGCUUUUAGAAGUUGCCUGCAUUCCUUGGCCCCUUCCUCACAUCAUUCCAACCAACUUCCAUCCUUACAAUCGAUUACUUUCCUGUAAUAGCUACAGUCAAAUGGGCAGCUGAAGAUGAUGAUGAUGAUGAUCUUGACACCGAGAAGCAGAAGACCAAUGAAGAUGACCAGACAGCAAAAAAGGAUAAGUUAAAAGAAGGUAAAAGAAGGCCACUCGUACUUGCUGUCUCAGUAUCUAAAGGUGGUCACCUUCCAGUAGAGAGGCCCACCCACUGCAGACCGUGCCACCGAAGGUGACAUGCACUUUCUGCCACCCAUCCAAAACCGUAACGUGAAUCUGCAACAGGAGAGGAAAGAAGAACCAAAACUUCCAAGGCCUUGCAUUUUUUCUUAAAAGCAUUUUUUUUUUUUUUUGGAGAUGGAGUCUCACUCUAUUGCCUGGAGUGCAGUGGCGUAAUUUCGGCUCACUGAAGCCUCUGCUUCCCGGGUUUAAGAAAUUCUCUGCCUCAGCCUCCCAAGUAGCUGGGAUUACAGGCACAUGCCACCACACCUGUCUAAUUUUUGUAUUUUUAGGAGAGACAGGGUUUCACCGUGUUGGCCAGGCUGGUCUUGAACUCCUGACCUCGUGAUCCACCUGCCUUGGCCUCCCAAAGUGCUGGGAUUACAGGCCUGAGCCACUGCACCUAGCCAAAAGCAUUUUUUAAAGAAAAAUUGGUCUAUAUUUUUUGUUUCUACUUUAUAUCUUUGUACAUAUUUUUAGAGUGCAGGCAUUUUUAAUAAUCUUGGAUGACCAAAGCAGCUUUCAGAAUGUUCUUUGCCCAACUUCUGACUUUACUUGUAGUGUGACCAUGUUCAUUAGAAUCUCAAAGGAGGAAGAAAAGAAAAAACAAACUUGUAAAAAA